rnacentral:rRNA from 1 species
GAUGAACGCUGGCGGCGUGCCUAAUACAUGCAAGUCGAGCGAACGGACGAGAAGCUUGCUUCUCUGAUGUUAGCGGCGGACGGGUGAGUAACACGUGGAUAACCUACCUAUAAGACUGGGAUAACUUCGGGAAACCGGAGCUAAUACCGGAUAAUAUUUUGAACCGCAUGGUUCAAAAGUGAAAGACGGUCUUGCUGUCACUUAUAGAUGGAUCCGCGCUGCAUUAGCUAGUUGGUAAGGUAACGGCUUACCAAGGCAACGAUGCAUAGCCGACCUGAGAGGGUGAUCGGCCACACUGGAACUGAGACACGGUCCAGACUCCUACAGGAGGCAGCAGUAGGGAAUCUUCCGCAAUGGGCGAAAGCCUGACGGAGCAACGCCGCGUGAGUGAUGAAGGUCUUCGGAUCGUAAAACUCUGUUAUUAGGGAAGAACAUAUGUGUAAGUAACUGUGCACAUCUUGACGGUACCUAAUCAGAAAGCCACGGCUAACUACGUG